GAAUUGCGUUAGGGAUGGGAAUGAAAAUAAAGAGCGCUGGCACUGUAGUAUUGCCCUAACGAGGAAGCGACCAACGGAAGCUCCCGCAGUAGGAGCAAUACUACAGUGCCAGCGCUCUUUAUUGUAAUGUACAGCCCGUAAUACG
rnacentral:misc_RNA from 1 species